UACAGAGGUCUCAAGCGUUUGUUCGGAUUCAUUGGGCGUAAAGGGUGCGUAGGCGGCGCGGUAAGUCGGGUGUGAAAUCUUGGAGCUUAACUCCGAAACUGCAUUCGAUACUGCCGUGCUUGAGGACUGGAGAGGAGACUGGAAUUUACGGUGUAGCAGUGAAAUGCGUAGAGAUCGUAAGGAAGACCAGUGGCGAAGGCGG
rnacentral:rRNA from 1 species